CUAUAUCUACCCUGUAGAUCCGGAUUUGUGUAAAAAUCAUUAAAGCAAUCACAAAUUCGCUUCUAGGGGAGUAUAUAGU
rnacentral:pre_miRNA from 13 species